rnacentral:lncRNA from 1 species
AGAAAGUUUAGCAACUCUCUCUUUUAACUUACAAGGAACAAUAUUACACAAUCAUAAAAGAAGAAAGGGGGGCCUAAGAGUCAAGCUGAGCAUACCAAACACCCUGGAUCUUCACAUCCUUGGGAGCUUUUGCUCCCAAAUCGGUAUCAGAAGGCUGAAUACUCUCAAACACACCAAUAACUUCACCAGUCUCAGGCUUGCUCUUGGUCACACUCAAAGUGAUUUUCCCUGUUGAAGAUGAAGCAUUCUUUAUGUUUUCUUUAGCAAGUUCUUCUUCAUCACCUCUCCCUCCAGCAGGCAAUGCAACAGCAUUAUCAUAUCCAGUUGAACCUCCUCUUCCCUUUGGGUCCAAGAAAGACGAGCCACGGUAAGAUGGGACUAAAAAGUCUCCACUAAAGCUCUCUGGUUUUCCAGAAGCCACCAAUUGUUUGAUGGUGAAGAGGAACGGGACACGCUCACCUCCCGGCAACUGGACAGUGACAGCAGCAUAGUCAAUUCCAUCUUUCUCCUCAAACUUGAUCGAACCAUCAGCACCAACUUCAAAGGGUCCUUCAAUCUCGUCUAGUGUGUAAGUUAGACGAGUCAUGAGCUUGGUGUUUUGGAAUUCUGGUGGGGCGUUCUUGCUCACUCCUUCAGCCUUCACAGUGAAAGAAGUUGGCUCAAGACAGAAUUUCUUGGCUUGAUAUUUGCCUGCCUUGAAGGCAAAUGAAUCAACUCCUCCAUCAAUGGUUGGGCACUGGUUAGCUGUUCCAGUUCCCUUAACUUCAAGGUAUGUCUUGCUCUGAAUUUCAUCAAAGGUGAGUCUCUUUGGUACUCCUUCAGCACCAGCUCCCUGGAAAUACAUGAAAAGUAUCGAACAAUUAAGAUGCUCACCAAGUUGUAGGAUUACACUUUGUAUAUAUCAAGUGUUAAUCAGUCUAGACAUUCUUAGAUCUCAUAUAUCAAGUGUACUCAGACUAAUUAAGUCCUUGAAGUGAGAUUUUCUUUAACGCUUUAAAACUUUAAAGUCUGUAUCUAAUAUUUAAGUCAUUUAAGACUUACCGUAACACACUAACCAUAUAUCAUCAGUGGACUAUGUGGUGGACUGAUUUUCAAAUAAUCCUUGAUUGAAUAGUAUAAUGAAAAUGUUAUGGGAUCAUUAAUGUAAAAAUGAAUUACAAGUUAAAUUAAGAACAACAGGUACUUUAUUAAGUCACAGAGAAUCAAAUGGAUUAUUCCACUUGGAUCUAAGUAGUUUGAUCCUUUAUUUGGCAAGAAAUUGCCACUAAGUUAAACAAAUUCGGAGAUUAUCAAUUACCCAUUCUAAGUCUGAACUAUAAUUAUUUUCUCCAAGAACUCAAUUCAAUAUCAGCAACUAAAACAAUACAGACAUUCACAUCCAAACGCAAAUAUAAAGCAUCGUGGAGAAUCAUAAGAAGAAAGUAAUCGUGGAAGGAAAGUACGAUAAGAACAUACCGAAACGACAAGAGCGGAAGUGGCAAGAGCGAAGCCGGCAAUCUUAGCAGCAUCGGCAAACUUGCGAGAAACGUCUUUGAGAUCGGAGUGAAGAGAGCAGGUGAGUCUAGGUCCGGAAGAUUCAAGGCCAAAGGCUUUAGAAAGGGAUUGAGAAGAUCUGAGGUGAGAGGUGGUAGUUCUUGAAGCCAACUUGGAGGGUUGCAUAAGGGUAGCCGCGGCCGCCUGAACUGAAGCCGCCAUUGUUGUAUCCGGAUUGAGUGUAAGAGAGGAGAAGUGAAAUUUU